rnacentral:rRNA from 1 species
UACGUAGGUGGCAAGCGUUGUCCGGAUUUACUGGGCGUAAAGAGCGCGCAGGCGGUCGUCCAAGUCGCGUGUGAAAGCCCCCGGCUCAACUGGGGAGGGUCACGCGAUACUGAUCGACUCGAAGGCAGGAGAGGGAAGCGGAAUUCCCGGUGUAGUGGUGAAAUGCGCAGAUAUCAGGAGGAACACCGGUGGCGAAGGCGGGUCUCUGGGCCACUACUGACGCUGAGGAGCGAAAGCGUGGGGAGCGAACAGG